rnacentral:tRNA from 1 species
GGAAGGAUGGCGGAGCGGUCGAACGCGGUGGUCUUGAAAACCAUUAAACCGAAAGGUUUCGAGGGUUCGAAUCCCUCUCCUUCCGCCA